rnacentral:rRNA from 1 species
AGUGAACGCUGGCGGUAGGCCUAACACAUGCAAGUCGAACGGCAGCACAGUAAGAGCUUGCUCUUACGGGUGGCGAGUGGCGGACGGGUGAGGAAUACAUCGGAAUCUACUUUUUCGUGGGGGAUAACGUAGGGAAACUUACGCUAAUACCGCAUACGACCUACGGGUGAAAGCAGGGGAUCUUCGGACCUUACGCGAUUGAAUGAGCCGAUGUCGGAUUAGCCAGUUGGCGGGGUAAAGGCCCACCAAGGCGACGAUCCGUAGCUGGUCUGAGAGGAUGAUCAGCCACACUGGAACUGAGACACGGUCCAGACUCCUACGGGAGGCAGCAGUGGGGAAUAUUGGACAAUGGGCGCAAGCCUGAUCCAGCCAUACCGCGUGGGUGAAGAAGGCCUUCGGGUUGUAAAGCCCUUUUGUUGGGAAAGAAAAGCAGCAGGUUAAUACCCCGCUGUUCUGACGGUACCCAAAGAAUAAGCACCGGCUAACUUCGUG